UGCCAAUCUCCUUAAGUGUCCACCAGGACCU
rnacentral:piRNA from 1 species